AUGUCUCAGUACAAGCCAAAUUAAGGUGAAACCGCGAAAGGCUCAUUAAAUCAGUUAUGGUUCCUUAGAUCGUACCCACACUUACUUGGAUAACUGUGGUAAUUCUAGAGCUAAUACAUGCAAACAGAGCUCCGACCGGAGACGGAAGGAGCGCUUUUAUUAGAUCAAAACCAAUCGGUGGCGGGUUCGCUCGUCAUCGUAUAACUUGGUGACUCUGAAUAACUUUAAGCUGAUCGCACGGUCUAGCACCGGCGACGCAUCUUUCAAAUGUCUGCCUUAUCAACUGUCGAUGGUAGGUUCUGCGCCUACCAUGGUCGUAACGGGUAACGGGGAAUCAGGGUUCGAUUCCGGAGAGGGAGCCUGAGAAACGGCUACCACAUCCAAGGAAGGCAGCAGGCGCGCAAAUUACCCACUCCCGGCACGGGGAGGUAGUGACGAAAAAUAACGAUACGGGACUCAUCCGAGGCCCCGUAAUCGGAAUGAGUACACUCUAAACCCUUUAACGAGGAUCAAUUGGAGGGCAAGUCUGGUGCCAGCAGCCGCGGUAAUUCCAGCUCCAAUAGCGUAUAUUAAAGUUGUUGCGGUUAAAAAGCUCGUAGUCGAAUUUGUGUCCCGCGCCGCCGGUUCAUCGUCCGCGGUGUCAACUGGCGUGCCGCGGGACGUCCUGCCGGUGGGCUUAGCUCCUCAGGGGGCGGCCCAACUCAAUCCCGCCGCGGUGCUCUUCACUGAGUGUCGAGGUGGGCCGGCACGUUUACUUUGAACAAAUUAGAGUGCUUAAAGCAGGCUAAAACUUCGCCUGAAUACUGUGUGCAUGGAAUAAUGGAAUAGGACCUCGGUUCUAUUUUGUUGGUUUUCGGAACCCCGAGGUAAUGAUUAAUAGGAACGGAUGGGGGCAUUCGUAUUGCGA
rnacentral:rRNA from 1 species